GGUCUUCAGCCUGAGACAUAUCCCUAGGUCAAGACUGUGCACCCCAGAAGUAUGAAAGAAGCAAAAGUGCUCUUUGUUCUCUUCUUAUAUUCGUUAUUCAAACUCACUUUCUACAUACAGAUGGCAGAAAGCAUCUGGUUAAUGGGACCUCUAUGUAGUUUUUAAAAGGUUCCAAGAGUCUUUUCAAAAAGGGGUAGUAGCAGGGUGCCCAGCUUUCUGUAAAAAAAGAAAACAACAACAAAAAUGAGUGGUAUAAAGAAUCCAGAGAAGGAAGAGGAACCAGAGGAACACACUGAAAGUACAAAGCAGUGGUUAUUCAGUCACUACAGAGACAGUUCUGCAAAAGUGAUAAUGUGGUAAUUAUUUAAGACUGUGCUAAGUGGACUUGACAGGUAAUUACUAAUGACAUUCUUGUUGUUAUGGCCCAAUGGGGAAUACAGAUAACCUGAUGCAAGUCAUUUGACUAAAAACAUCUGGUUAAAGAUCAUUAUUCUCUGACCGAGUUGGCACAUAAUAUUAAUUAGAAACCAAAGGGGUGAAUGGUUCUGUAUAUUACCAAAGCAAUACAAUAGCCAGUCCUUCCAAAUCUGCAAGUUGGUUCACUGGUUCAACCUCAUCUUGCUUUCCUUCAGUCGUAGUGAGAAAUUAGCUUCAAGAACUCAUGAGAGAAAAAAGUCAAUUUUCUAAAGCAAAGUUUUGUGCAUUUAUGAAACCUUAGAGGAAAACCUAUUUAUUUACAACAGUGGUUCUUAACCUUUUUGUAAAAGAUGACAGACCUGUUAGAGAAUGUGAUAAAAGAUAUGGUAACUUUCUCUGUUGUCUAUAAAAUGAGUGCACAUACGAACCUUUAGUGUUUCACAAACAAUAUCUUGGGGAUCAUUCAGGCACUAAGAAAUCAC
rnacentral:lncRNA from 1 species